GACGAACGCUGGCGGCGUGCUUAACACAUGCAAGUCGAACGGUAAGGCCCUUCGGGGUACACGAGUGGCGAACGGGUGAGUAACACGUGGGUGAACUGCUCUGCACUCCGGGAUAAGCCUGGCAAACUGGGUCUAAUACCGGAUAGGACCACAGCCUGCAUGGCGGGUGGGGGAAUGCAUGUGCGGUGUGGGAUGGGCGCGGGGCCUGUCAGCUUGUUGGUGGGGUGAUGGACUGCCAAGGGGACGAGGGGGAGCCGGCCUGAGAGGGUGACCGGCCAAACUGGGACUGAGAUACGGCACAGACUACUACGGGGGGCAGGAGUGGGGAAUAGUGCACAAUGGGCGCAAGCCUGAUGCAGCGACGCCGCGUGAGGGAUGACGGCCUUCGGGUUGUAAACCUCUUUCAGCACCGACGAAGCGCAAGUGACGGUAGGUGCAGAAGAAGGACCGGCCAACUACGUGCCAGCAGCCGCGGUAA
rnacentral:rRNA from 1 species